rnacentral:rRNA from 1 species
UACGGAGGGUGCAAGCGUUAUCCGGAUUCACUGGGUUUAAAGGGCGCGUAGGUGGCCUUCUUAGUCAGACGUGAAAUCCCCAGGCUUAACCUGGGAACUGCGUCUGAUACUGGAAGGCUCGAGUUCGGGAGAGGAAUGUGGAAUUCCAGGUGUAGCGGUGAAAUGCGUAGAUAUCUGGAGGAACACCGGUGGCGAAGGCGGCAUUCUGGACCGAGACUGACGCUGAGGCGCGAAAGCCAGGGGAGCAAACGGG